ensembl:lncRNA
CUCCGUGCUCAACGAUUCUAACAUAGCCUGAGUAAAAGGUGCGGUAGGGCCAUAUUGCGCACAUGCCAUUUUUAACUCUUUGAGUUCCUUAAAAGAUAUCGGCCGAUGGAUUCUGACCAUAUUCCCUUGAGCGUCAGCUUCCUCAAAUACUGGACAAGCUAAAUGAAAGCCCUGGGUAUCUUCCCCUCUGUCAACCGCCUGUUGCAGGGUAGCUUGUAUUGGCGACAGAGACUGAGAAUUGACAGACAAAGGCCUGGGUCCUGGGGGAUGUUUGAUUAUGGCUAUAAGAGGGUCCGUUUUUUUCAUUAAUCUUGGAGCUGCAACCGGCGGGGGAUCAAGACCAGCAAUUAUACUAGGAACUAUUCCUCCCUCACCCUGAGUCUUCUGGUCUUCCUCUUCCACCGUUAAGCCUGUCUGCCACUGCUGACAAAGAGACUCCAAUCUCUUUCCCAAUCUAGUAAUCCUUUCGGUCACGUCCUCAUUCGCUGGCUGUCUGGAUUUUUCGGUUUUCCUGGCCACGGCUACGAUGGGGGGGGGGCAGUCCUCAUUGUUAUACCUAGCAGCCUCUUCUUCCAAAGCAUCAGCAUCUCCCGGGUUUAGGGGUCCCUCAUCCGGAAAAAAACCCUUCCUUAGUGCAGGCUCUGCCUCAGCAUACACUGGCGGAGCAGAUGGCUUAGUUUCACUUUCUAUAGGAGGCGGAGGGACAACCUCGGGAACACCAGCCUUGUCAGGCUCCUCCGAGGAAGGACUUGAGGAGGGUCCUUCAACCCUCUCUCCCUCAUACCGAGGAUCCAAACUAUCUCUAAUUAAAGCCCAUAAACUAAAAGCAUCUAUAGGGAUUUUAGUAGGUCCAUGACCAUCGUAAUAGUCCUGAAGUCGCCUUCCCACCUUAUUCCAUACUUCUAAAUCUACUGUGCCUUCUUCAGGGAACCAAAGACAAACUUUCUCUACAAAUUCUAAAAAAUUACAUAACUGUUCAUGCCCUACCUUUGCUCCACGAGCGCGAAGCAUAUUUUAAGCAUAUGCUCAAAAAGCAUUCGGCUGUUACCAAUACCCAUCUUGUUACUCCCGAGUGCAUUCACCGCCCUUAAUUUACUUAUCUGAGCUCACAAUCCGUGGUGUCCUUCACUAUGGUCCCCCGUAUUCAGGUCCCUGUUCGGGCGCCACCCGUGAUGGAGCCAGGCGUCACUUGUCGAACAGCACCUGAAUGGGGGAGUGAGGAUGAAGAAAAAGAAAGACGCAGAGAUGGAGUCGGGAGCCCCCCAGAGAGACUGCCGCCGCUGCUUUUUUAUUCUCCUCCCCUUUUUAUCACAGGUUUACAAAACGUUCAUCAUGUUCCAGGACAAUUUCUGAAGCUGGCCAGCACGAUCCCCGGGGGCAGACCUCCUCUUUCCUGUUCCUGACGUGUCUCCAGCACCCAGGAUGGUGCCCAGCGUGCAGCAGAUGCUUGAAGAGUGUUAAGAGGUGUCUCCGGGCAUGGUGGCACAUGCGUGUGAUCCCAGCACUCGGGAGGCCACAGGGAACAGGGAACUUCCGCAUAACCAAGGGAUGACCUCCCUUUGUUGGUGACUCUCUGCCUAGUUAAGGUCUUUCUGCCCCACCGGUUUCAUGGUCAGAUGUUCCAGUCAGACAGGGGCUUCCCGAAAGCGGUGACUCCAUCCCCCCUGACCGAAACCUGUUGCUACCUACCCCAGCCCCAAUCCCCCACCCCCACCAAUGGACCAGUGCUCUCCCACCUGCAAGAUCCCUAUAUAAGCUUCCGGCUCAGCCCAUGCAGUUGCUGGUCUCCAUUCUGUGAGUCAGCCCGGCAGGCUGCAGACUGCCGCCCCAAUAAAGCUUGCUUGAACGUCUGUGUGUGCUCCCCUUCUUCAGAGACCCUUUCAGUUUAUAUGUCACAUCUAAUUGAAAGCUUAAGG